CUCUUAGCCUAGAGAAUUCAAGAGAGGCGCCAAUGUCUUUUCCUAAUUUCCUUCUCAUGUACGUUUCUUCCCACCGCCAUAUCUCUCUUCUUUCCCCAUUUUUCUUUAACCCUAGCCCUCAAUCAGUUACAGAUUCUUCUCCUCUCCUUUUUCUUUCGUUAUCAUUUUUGCUCCUAAUCCUACGCCUCCAUACUCAUUCGCAACGCCAAUGGGAUUUUGAGUGAAGGAGUUGAUUUGGCAGCGUUUAGGCUUUCAAACUAACCAGAACUACUGAUGAGGCGAAGGAUGUGUUGGCGCAGCCGCUGCCGCAUAAGCGUAGCGUUAGUCUACGCGACUCAGCUGCAAGCUCAUUUCAUGAUAUGAUGAAGAUGAACAUCUUAUUAUUAUCUGUAACAUUGUUUCUGCUUCUCAUUAAUCCUGCUCUUUCACUUCCAUUGUGUAUAGAUUUAAGUGCACCAGUUACACACAAGACUCCUCCGACUUUCUGUAAUUACAAUGGCAGUUCACGCUGCGAUUCUACCGAUAACUCGAAUAUUCGGAAGCAGUUUGAAUCCAUGAAUGUAUCUCAACCUGCCUGUGCUUCUGUUCUGAAAUCCAUCCUUUGUUCGGUAUGAAUUAUAUAACAAUGAUUCAUGAAACUUGAUUUUAAGAAAAUUGUGAUUUUUAUUUCAAGAUUAGUUGAUUUUUAUAAGAAAGAUAGUGAUUUUUAUUUCAAGAAUAGUUAAUUUUUGAAAGAAAGUUGUGAUUUUUAUUUCAAGAUUAGUUGAUUUAUAUGGAAGUUGUGAUUUUUAUUUCAAGAUUAGUUGAUUUAUAUGGAAGUUGUGUUUUUUAUUUCAAGAAAGAUUAAACUUCAUUUCAGGAAUGUUGUUAUUUCAAGAUUUGUUGAUUUUUAUAUAAAAGUUGUGAUUUUUAUAUAGAAGUUGUGAUUUUUCUUCAAAGAUUAAUUGAUUUCUAUAAGAAAGGUGUGAUUGUUAUUUCAAGAUUAGUUAGUUUUUGUAAGAAAGUUCUGAAUCCUAUACUUCUUAAUAAAAAACAUAUUCAGAGUGUUUGGUGUUGCAUCUUGGAAGUAAUUUUAAACCUGUAGUUGCAUUCACACAUGAAGUUGAUAUAGAAAUAACCAUAUAGAAGGAGAGGGGUAUAAUGGUCAUACCCCAUCGAUUGCCUCUUUCCGACGGAGAUGUGGUAGCCGACAGAACAACCAGUAUCAGAGAUGGGAUGGUUGUCCGGUGAUGAUUCCUGAUGCUCUAGAAGUGCUUUCAGUGAGUUUUCAAGUCCAGCCACAACGUCCGGUGGUAGCUAAACUCACUACCCUUCUAUGAUGGUAUGAACUUUGUGGCUUUAAUUGAUCAAUCUUAUUGUUGUGUUUAUUGAUUUCCAAAUUUUGUGUCUCCUGAGCUGUGUUUGAGGAAUGGAAAGUAGGUUGUUCUGCCAAUGGUGCUUGAGAAUACCAUAUUUAUUUGUCGAUGUGAUUUGAUAAAGAUUAACUAGGUAGGUUCAUGGAAUUUGUAAAUAUCUUAGGUUUGGGUGGAACAUUGUAUUUCAUUUUUUUAUCCUUUCAUGAUUGAAUUUGUUUUAGAACCAGGUCACUUAUUGCAAAUUAAUAGUUGAAUAUCUGUGAUAUAUUAUUAAUCAGGAGAAUUGAGUGGCGAGUUGAUGUGUUUAUGUGGUUUGAAGUUGUGCAUAGAAAUUUUGAUUGUUGUCAUUAUAUAGAAUAACUAAAAAGUAUUCUUUAAUAAUUAUAUCUCCUGGAGCGUUACAAGAGUCAAGCCAGGAUGAAGUUGAGCUCAGGUUCAAUUUUAAACUAAGCCGUCUUGACUCGAAUUUUAGACUCAGCUAGAAAUUUGAUGAGUUUGACUUAGUUAAAUUUUUUUGUGCCUCAGAUUAACUCAGCUCAGUUUUCACAGAGUUGAAUUGUUAGAAGGUAGAAGCCAAAAAUGUUAAUUGUGUGACAUUUGUAACUUCUUUUUGCAUUUUGAUACAAAUGAAUUUGGGGGAUUCAUAAAAGGUGAAAACAAUCUUUAUUCAGUUGUCUUGCUUCAAGAUAACCCAAUUCAAAAUCUUUCAGUUCUGGUUUUCUAAGAGUGACAGCAAGGAGAAAAAAGGGUUAUCAUCAAUGGAAGAAAGCAAGAAGAAUGGGAUUAGUGGUGGAUUUAACAAGAAAAGGGCAUAUGGUAGAGAUAAGAGUGGGCCUAAAGAUUUGAAACUAAAAGUUAACAUGCUUAAUCGUGUGAAUACCAUUUCUUAUGCUCAGGUAUAUGUUGAAUAAUUAUAAAGAUGCUAACUUUGGUUUGUGAUUUGUGUGUUGGGAAGGGGUUAACUUUGGUAUAUGUUCACAACAAUGGCUUUAACCAACCCGCUACUUGAUUUAAACCCUGAGACUUAGAUAAAUUCUUCCAAAUCCGAAUGUUUCUCCAAACCGAACCCGUAUACAAGAAGUCUCCAGAUGAAGCUAAUGAAUAAACAUGUCCUUCACGUGUUAAAGACCCGAUUAACCCAGUUUGCGAAAUGGGCCCGUCUUAUGCUAGAGAAAAUUUUCCAUGGGGAUUUUGAAAAUGGCAACGUAUUGUGGCCCGGGGACAUGAAGUAAUCGACCAGAGAUGAGUUUGGAGAAAUGGUUGGAGAGACGUUGUUGUGGCGGUGAUGCGAACCGCUUCCGGUUUCGUGUUGUUGAUCCGCGAUGAGUAAAAUGUUCGGUUCGGAUUUGUGGAAGAGGUCUCCAAGCUUGGUUCGCCCGCAGGGCGAGUUUUCAGCUGGAAACACUGGCAUGUUGGUUUCCUCUUCAUCAUGUUGAACAAAGAUAGUUUGUUAAUUGUUUAUUUUGUGUUGAAAAUAUGGAGAUGGAUUGGGAAGUGAAGAAGAUGGGAUUUAUACAAAGUUUUGGUAAUGGUGGCUUGAACCUGAGUGUUUACACGUGGUUUGAAAUAUAUGUUAUUGGCGUGUAUUAGUCAAGAUAUGUUAAAAACUAUGUUAUAUUUUGGUUGAAGUAAGUAUUUAUUUGUUGGUCA